AAACGACUCUCGGCAACGGAUAUCUCGGCUCUCGCAUCGAUGAAGAACGUAGCGAAAUGCGAUACUUGGUGUGAAUUGCAGAAUCCCGUGAACCAUCGAGUUUUUGAACGCAAGUUGCGCCCGAAGCUUUCGGCUGAGGGCACGUCUGCCUGGGCG
rnacentral:rRNA from 4 species